GAUGAACGCUGGCGGCGUGCCUAAUACAUGCAAGUCGAGCGAACGGACGAGAAGCUUGCUCCUCUGAUGUUAGCGGCGGACGGGUGAGUAACACGUGGAUAACCUACCUAUAAGACUGGGAUAACUUCGGGAAACCGGAGCUAAUACCGGAUAAUAUUUUGAACCGCAUGGUUCAAAAGUGAAAGACGGUUUUGCUGUCACUUAUAGAUGGAUCCGCGUUGCAUUAGCUAGUUGGUAAGGUAACGGCUUACCAAGGCAACGAUGCAUAGCCGACCUGAGAGGGUGAUCGGCCACACUGGAACUGAGACACGGUCCAGACUCCUACGGGAGGCAGCAGUAGGGAAUCUUCCGCAAUGGGCGAAAGCCUGACGGAGCAACGCCGCGUGAGUGAUGAAGGUCUUCGGAUCGUAAAACUCUGUUAUUAGGGAAGAACAUAUGUGUAAGUAACUGUGCACGUCUUGACGGUACCUAAUCAGAAAGCCACGGCUAACUACGCG
rnacentral:rRNA from 1 species